UACGGGAGGCAGCAGUGGGGAAUCUUGGACAAUGGGGGCAACCCUGAUCCAGCCAUGCCGCGUGAGUGAUGAAGGCCUUAGGGUCGUAAAGCUCUUUCGCCUGUGAAGAUAAUGACGGUAGCAGGUAAAGAAACCCCGGCUAACUCCGUGCCAGCAGCCGCGGUAAUACGGAGGGGGUUAGCGUUGUUCGGAAUUACUGGGCGUAAAGCGCACGUAGGCGGACUGGAAAGUUGGGGGUGAAAUCCCAGGGCUCAACCCUGGAACUGCCUCCAAAACUAUCAGUCUAGAGUUCGAGAGAGGUGAGUGGAAUUCCGAGUGUAGAGGUGAAAUUCGUAGAUAUUCGGAGGAACACCAGUGGCGAAGGCGGCUCACUGGCUCGAUACUGACGCUGAGGUGCGAAAGUGUGGGGAGCAAACAGGAUUAGAUACCCUGGUAGUCCACACCGUAAACGAUGAAUGCCAGUCGUCGGGUAGCAUGCUAUUCGGUGACACACCUAACGGAUUAAGCAUUCCGCCUGGGGAGUACGGUCGCAAGAUUAAAACUCAAAUGAAUUGA
rnacentral:rRNA from 1 species